CGUCCGCUGGAGGAGUCUUGAGGACACUGGGGAAGAUUGAACGUUGGAGGAGUUCGAAAUUCAAUUCUGUCGUAGAAGUUCGGACGGAGUCCGGCUCUUGUAGGAGUUCAGAUAGAGACUUCUUAUUGUAGAAGCUCGGACGAAGGCCGGCUGUCGUGGAAGCUCGGAUGGAGACUUCUUAUUGUAGAAGUCCCGCUGCUAGAGAAGUUCGGU
rnacentral:lncRNA from 1 species